AUUUUCGAGUGAAGGACCCGGAGCCGAAACACCGGUAGGAGCGGGGAGGUGGGUACUACACAACCGUCUCCAGCCUUGGUCUGAGUGGACUGUCCUGCAGCGACCAUGCCCCGUAAAGGCACCCAGCCCUCCACUGCCCGGCGCAGAGAGGAAGGGCCGCCGCCGUCCCCUGACGGCGCCAGCAGCGACGCGGAGCCUGAGCCGCCGUCCGGCCGCACGGAGAGCCCAGCCACCGCCGCAGAGACUGCAAGUGAGGAACUUGAUAAUAGAAGUUUAGAAGAGAUUUUGAAUAGCAUUCCUCCUCCCCCGCCUCCAGCAAUGACCAAUGAAGCUGGAGCUCCUCGGCUUAUGAUAACUCAUAUUGUAAACCAGAACUUCAAAUCCUAUGCUGGGGAGAAAAUUCUGGGACCUUUCCAUAAGCGCUUUUCCUGUAUUAUCGGGCCAAAUGGCAGUGGCAAAUCCAAUGUUAUUGAUUCUAUGCUUUUUGUGUUUGGCUAUCGAGCACAAAAAAUAAGAUCUAAAAAACUCUCAGUAUUAAUACAUAAUUCUGAUGAACACAAGGACAUUCAGAGUUGUACAGUAGAAGUUCAUUUUCAAAAGAUAAUUGAUAAGGAAGGGGAUGAUUAUGAAGUCAUUCCUAACAGUAAUUUCUAUGUAUCCAGAACGGCCUACAGAGAUAAUACUUCUGUCUAUCACAUAAGUGGAAAGAAAAAGACAUUUAAGGAUGUCGGAAAUCUUCUUCGAAGCCAUGGAAUUGACUUGGACCAUAAUAGAUUUUUAAUUUUACAGGGUGAAGUUGAACAAAUUGCUAUGAUGAAACCAAAAGGCCAGACUGAACAUGAUGAGGGUAUGCUUGAAUAUUUAGAAGAUAUAAUUGGUUGUGGACGGCUAAAUGAACCUAUUAAAGUCUUGUGUCGGAGAGUUGAAAUAUUAAAUGAACACAGAGGAGAGAAGUUAAACAGGGUAAAGAUGGUGGAAAAGGAAAAGGAUGCCUUAGAAGGAGAGAAAAACAUAGCUAUCGAAUUUCUUACCUUGGAAAAUGAAAUAUUUAGAAAAAAGAAUCAUGUUUGUCAAUAUUAUAUGUAAGUGCCUUGAUUGAUAUUAUCAAUUUUUAUAUUAGUUUUUAACCGUUAAGUCAAAGCCCUUCUCUUUUCCUAGAGAAACAUGAAGACUGAAGUGAAAAAAAAAUCUCUAAACAUUGUUUUGUGUGACUGGAUGUGUUAGCUCAUGCCUGUAAUUCCAGCACUUUGGGAGGCUAAGGCAGGAGGAUCACUUGAGGCUGGGAGUUCAAGACCAGCCUGGGCAACAUAGCAAGACCCCAUCUCUACAAAAAAAGAAAUUAUGUGGUGAAUUUAUCCAAUGUGAGGACUAUCUGGCUGUGACACCUGUCACCCCGUUGAUCACCAGGGUUGAAUUUAUUAAAUUAGGCAUAUUUGUCAAUUCAUUGAAGUUGACUUUUUAGUAUCCUGCUUUAAGUUGGGAGUUAUGAGUUGCAGAAACGAAUUGCUGAAAUGGAAACUCAAAAGGAAAAAAUUCAUGAAGACACCAAAGAAAUUAAUGAGAAGAGCAAUAUACUAUCAAAUGAAAUGAAAGCUAAGAAUAAAGAUGUAAAAGAUAUAGAAAAGAAACUGAAUAAAAUUAAAAAAUUUAUUGAGGAGAAUAAAGAAAAAUUUACACAGCUAGAUUUGGAAGAUGUUCAAGUUAGAGAAAAAUUAAAACAUGCAACGAGUAAAGCCAAAAAACUGGAGAAACAACUUC
rnacentral:sRNA from 1 species